rnacentral:rRNA from 1 species
CUUAACACAUGCAAGUCGAGGGGAAACGGCAUUGAGUGCUUGCACUCUUUGGACGUCGACCGGCGCACGGGUGAGUAACGCGUAUCCAACCUUCCCAUUACUGUGGGAUAACCUGCCGAAAGGCAGACUAAUACCGCAUAGUCUUCGAUGACGGCAUCAGAUUUGAGGUAAAGAUUUAUCGGUAAUGGAUGGGGAUGCGUCUGAUUAGCUUGUUGGCGGGGUAACGGCCCACCAAGGCAACGAUCAGUAGGGGUUCUGAGAGGAAGGUCCCCCACAUUGGAACUGAGACACGGUCCAAACUCCUACGGGAGGCAGCAGUGAGGAAUAUUGGUCAAUGGACGGAAGUCUGAACCAGCCAAGUAGCGUGCAGGAUGACGGCCCUAUGGGUUGUAAACUGCUUUUGUAUGGGGAUAAAGUUAGGGACGUGUCCCUAUUUGCAGGUACCAUACGAAUAAGGACCGGCUAAUUCCGUGCCAGCAGCCGCGGUAAUACGGAAGGUCCAGGCGUUAUCCGGAUUUAUUGGGUUUAAAGGGAGCGUAGGCUGGAGAUUAAGUGUGUUGUGAAAUGUAGACGCUCAACGUCUGAAUUGCAGCGCAUACUGGUUUCCUUGAGUACGCACAACGUUGGCGGAAUUCGUCGUGUAGCGGUGAAAUGCUUAGAUAUGACGAAGAACUCCGAUUGCGAAGGCAGCUGACGGGAGCGCAACUGACGCUUAAGCUCGAAGGUGCGGGUAUCAAACAGGAUUAGAUACCCUGGUAGUCCGCACAGUAAACGAUGGAUGCCCGCUGUUGGUACCUGGUAUCAGCGGCUAAGCGAAA